rnacentral:rRNA from 1 species
AGCGAAUGGAUUAAGAGCUUGCUCUUAUGAAGUUAGCGGCGGACGGGUGAGUAACACGUGGGUAACCUGCCCAUAAGACUGGGAUAACUCCGGGAAACCGGGGCUAAUACCGGAUAAUAUUUUGAACCGCAUGGUUCGAAAUUGAAAGGCGGCUUCGGCUGUCACUUAUGGAUGGACCCGCGUCGCAUUAGCUAGUUGGUGAGGUAACGGCUCACCAAGGCAACGAUGCGUAGCCGACCUGAGAGGGUGAUCGGCCACACUGGGACUGAGACACGGCCCAGACUCCUACGGGAGGCAGCAGUAGGGAAUCUUCCGCAAUGGACGAAAGUCUGACGGAGCAACGCCGCGUGAGUGAUGAAGGCUUUCGGGUCGUAAAACUCUGUUGUUAGGGAAGAACAAGUGCUAGUUGAAUAAGCUGGCACCUUGACGGUACCUAACCAGAAAGCCACGGCUAACUACGUGCCAGCAGCCGCGGUAAUACGUAGGUGGCAAGCGUUAUCCGGAAUUAUUGGGCGUAAAGCGCGCGCAGGUGGUUUCUUAAGUCUGAUGUGAAAGCCCACGGCUCAACCGUGGAGGGUCAUUGGAAACUGGGAGACUUGAGUGCAGAAGAGGAAAGUGGAAUUCC